rnacentral:tRNA from 1 species
GGGGAUUUAGCUCAGUGUUGUAAGCACUUGCCUGGCAAGCAUGAGGUCGUGAUUUCAAUCCCUG